rnacentral:rRNA from 1 species
GACGAACGCUGGCGGCGUGCUUAACACAUGCAAGUCGAACGGAAAGGCUCUGCUUUUGUGGGGUGCUCGAGUGGCGAACGGGUGAGUAACACGUGAGUAACCUGCCCUUGACUUUGGGAUAACUUCAGGAAACUGGGGCUAAUACUGGAUAGGAGCUCCUGCUGCAUGGUGGGGGUUGGAAAUUUUCGGAGGUUGGGGAUGGACCCGCGGCUUAACAGCCUGUUGGUGGGGUAGCGGCUAACCAAGGCAUUGGCGGGUAGCCGGCCUGAGAGGGUGACCGGCCCCAGUGGGACUGAGAUACGGCCCAGACUCCUACGGGAGGCAGCAGUGGGGAAUAGUGCACAAUGGGCGGAAGCCUGAUGCAGCAACGCCGGGUGCGGGAUGACGGCCUUCGGGUUGUAAACCGCUUUCGCCUGUGACGAAGUGUGAGUGACGGUAAUGGGUAAAGAAGCACCGGCUAACUACGUG